AUUGAACGCUGGCGGAAUGCUUUACACAUGCAAGUCGAGCGGCAGCGCGGGGGCAACCCUGGCGGCGAGCGGCGAACGGGUGAGUAACAUAUCGGAACGUACCCAGUCGUGGGGGAUAACUAUCCGAAAGGAUAGCUAAUACCGCAUACGUCCUGAGGGAGAAAGCGGGGGAUCGCAAGACCUCGCGCGAUUGGAGCGGCCGAUAUCGGAUUAGCUAGUUGGUGGGGUAAAGGCUCACCAAGGCGACGAUCCGUAGCGGGUCUGAGAGGAUGAUCCGCCACACUGGAACUGAGACACGGUCCAGACUCCUACGGGAGGCAGCAGUGGGGAAUUUUGGACAAUGGGCGCAAGCCUGAUCCAGCCAUGCCGCGUGAGUGAAGAAGGCCUCGG
rnacentral:rRNA from 1 species